AUUGAACGCUGGCGACAUGCCUUACACAUGCAAGUCGAACGGCAGCACGGGUGCUUGCACCUGGUGGCGAGUGGCGAACGGGUGAGUAAUACAUCGGAACAUGUCCUGUAGUGGGGGAUAGCCCGGCGAAAGCCGGAUUAAUACCGCAUACGAUCUACGGAUGAAAGCGGGGGACCUUCGGGCCUCGCGCUAUAGGGUUGGCCGAUGGCUGAUUAGCUAGUUGGUGGGGUAAAGGCCUACCAAGGCGACGAUCAGUAGCUGGUCUGAGAGGACGACCAGCCACACUGGGACUGAGACGCGGCCCAGACUCCUACGGGAGGCAGCAGUGGGGAAUUUUGGACAAUGGGCGAAAGCCUGAUCCAGCAAUGCCGCGUGUGUGAAGAAGGCCUUCGGGUUGUAAAGCACUUUUGUCCGGAAAGAAAUCCUUGGCCCUAAUACGGUCGGGGGAUGACGGUACCGGAAGAAUAAGCACCGGCUAACUACGUG
rnacentral:rRNA from 1 species